rnacentral:rRNA from 1 species
GAUGAACGCUGGCGGCGUGCCUAAUACAUGCAAGUCGAGCGAACGGACGAGAAGCUUGCUUCUCUGAUGUUAGCGGCGGACGGGUGAGUAACACGUGGAUAACCUACCUAUAAGACUGGGAUAACUUCGGGAAACCGGAGCUAAUACCGGAUAAUAUUUUGAACCGCAUGGUUCAAAAGUAAAAGACGGUCUUGCUGUCACUUAUAGAUGGAUCCGCGCUGCAUUAGCUAGUUGGUAAGGUAACGGCUUACCAAGGCAACGAUGCAUAGCCGACCUGAGAGGGUGAUCGGCCACACUGGAACUGAGACACGGUCCAGACUCCUACGGGAGGCAGCAGUAGGGAAUCUUCCGCAAUGGGCGAAAGCCUGACGGAGCAACGCCGCGUGAGUGAUGAAGGUCUUCGGAUCGUAAAACUCUGUUAUUAGGGAAGAACAUAUGUGUAAGUAACUGUGCACAUCUUGACGGUACCUAAUCAGAAAGCCACGGCUAACUACGUGCCAGCAGCCGCGGUAAUACGUAGGUGGCAAGCGUUAUCCGGAAUUAUUGGGCGUAAAGCGCGCGUAGGCGGUUUUUUAAGUCUGAUGUGAAAGCCCACGGCUCAACCGUGGAGGGUCAUUGGAAACUGGAAAACUUGAGUGCAGAAGAGGAAAGUGGAAUUCCAUGUGUAGCGGUGAAAUGCGCAGAGAUAUGGAGGAACACCAGUGGCGAAGGCGACUUUCUGGUCUGUAACUGACGCUGAUGUGCGAAAGCGUGGGGAUCAAACAGGAUUAGAUACCCUGGUAGUCCACGCCGUAAACGAUGAGUGCUAAGUGUUAGGGGGUUUCCGCCCCUUAGUGCUGCAGCUAACGCAUUAAGCACUCCGCCUGGGGAGUACGACCGCAAGGUUGAAACCCAAAGGAAUUGACGGGGACCCGCACAAGCGGUGGAGCAUGUGGUUUAAUUCGAAGCAACGCGAAGAACCUUACCAAAUCUUGACAUCCUUUGACAACUCUAGAGAUAGAGCCUUCCCCUUCGGGGGACAAAGUGACAGGUGGUGCAUGGUUGUCGUCAGCUCGUGUCGUGAGAUGUUGGGUUAAGUCCCGCAACGAGCGCAACCCUUAAGCUUAGUUGCCAUCAUUAAGUUGGGCACCCUAAGUUGACUGCCGGUGACAAACCGGAGGAAGGUGGGGAUGACGUCAAAUCAUCAUGCCCCUUGUGAUUUGGGCUACACACGUGCUACAAUGGACAAUACAAAGGGCAGCGAAACCGCGAGGUCAAGCAAAUCCCAUAAAGUUGUUCUCAGUUCGGAUUGUAGUCUGCAACUCGACUACAUGAAGCUGGAAUCGCUAGUAAUCGUAGAUCAGCAUGCUACGGUGAAUACGUUCCCGGGUCU